AGGACGAACGCUGGCGGCGUGCUUAACACAUGCAAGUCGAGCGGAAAGGCCCUUUGGGGUACUCGAGCGGCGAACGGGUGAGUAACACGUGAGUAAUCUGCCCCUAGCUCUGGGAUAGCUCCGGGAAACCGGGAUUAAUACCAGAUACGACCACUUUAGACAUCUUCUGUGGUGGAAAGAACUUCGGCUAGGGAUGAACUCGCGGCCUAUCAGCUUGUUGGUGAGGUAACGGCUCACCAAGGCGACGACGGGUAGCCGGCCUGAGAGGGCGACCGGCCACACUGGGACUGAGACACGGCCCAGACUCCUACGGGAGGCAGCAGUGGGGAAUAUUGCGCAAUGGGCGAAAGCCUGACGCAGCGACGCCGCGUGGGGAUGAAGGCCUUCGGUUGUAACCCUUUCAGCAGGACGAAGCGAAAGUGACGGUACCUGCAGAGAAGCGCCGGCUAACUACGUGCCAGCAGCCGC
rnacentral:rRNA from 1 species